GUUUUUCUUUUCUUUUUGAUAAUUACAACCUGUGGUUAUGACAACAGACUGAGACAGUAAACAAUGAAGAGGAAGGGAAUCACCAGCAGCUUUUCCCAGACUAAAAGAAGAGAGGAGGAAGAGUUCAGAGAAAGAAAUGAAGGCAUGCAGAGCUCAGACAGAGAAAGACUACAUUUCCCAUCAUCCCCCGCGCCGCCUGCGCAGUGGCGCUGUCAGGCCGAGGACAGUUGAGGAGCAGCCUGCUGGAUGCUGAAGCUCCACAGAAACAAUGAGGCUGCUGUUAGCUGACAGAAGACAGGAGGCUUCGGACGGGCUCCUUCAAAGUAAAAGCAUCAAACAGGAAUCAUUAACGUGAAAAUAAAGGAUGUAGAGAGCAAAAGCUCAAGGAAACAACAAUGGAAACAAUAAUAAUAAUAAUAGUAAUAUGGAUGACUGACAAUCUACAGACA
ensembl:lncRNA